rnacentral:lncRNA from 1 species
CCGAGAAAGAACUUCGGAGUUUGCCAUGGUUGCAGGAGUUUUGGACACUUCUUUGACGAUUGCCCGAUAAAACACCGAUGUCCAGAUUGUACUCAUGGAUCUCAGAAGUUGUUUGAGGUUGAAAGGGACACUCCUAACAAAAGCAGAUUCUUCAAAUGUUGUAGUGAGAAGUGUGGGUUUCGGGAUUGGUGGAAAGAAUGAGAAGCAACCAGUGAAUCCAAUAACGCUAGCAUUACUUUGGCUAAACCAGCGACACACAAAGAAGUUAACGAUAUGUCGUGAACCUCAAGUGCGCCAUCUGGAAUGUUGAAAUUGUUUGGGUUCUUUUACAUCUCAGCUGAAAUUGUUUGGUUUAAACUGCUAUAUUUCUUCAUUCCAAUCAAAAUCUAACUAAAC